UAAUACGGGGGGAGCAAGCGUUGUUCGGAUUUACUGGGCGUAAAGGGCGCGUAGGCGGCGCGACAAGUCACUUGUGAAAUCUCUGGGCUCAACCCAGAACGGUCAAGUGAUACUGUCGUGCUAGAGUGCGGAAGGGGCAACUGGAAUUCUUGGUGUAGCGGUGAAAUGCGUAGAUAUCAAGAGGAACACCUGCGGCGAAGGCGGGUUGCUGGGCCGACACUGACGCUGAGGCGCGAAAGCCAGGGGAGCGAACGGGAUUAGAUACCCCGGUAGUCCUGGCCUUAAACGAUGAAUGCUUGGUGUGGCGGGUAUCGAUCCCUGCCGUGCCGAAGCUAACGCAUUAAGCAUUCCGCCUGGGGAGUACGGUCGCAAGGCUG
rnacentral:rRNA from 1 species